rnacentral:misc_RNA from 1 species
GAAAUGCGAUAAGUAAUGUGAAUUGCAGAAUUCAGUGAAUCAUCGAAUCUUUGAACGCACAUUGCGCCCGCCAGUAUUCUGGCGGGCAUACCUGUUCGAGCGUCAUUACAACCCUCAGGCCCCCGGGCCUGGCGUUGGGGAUCGGCGGAAGCCCCCUGCGGGCACAACGCCGUCCCCCAAAUACAGUGGCGGUCCCGCCGCAGCUUCCAUUGCGUAGUAGCUAACACCUCGCAACUGGAGAGCGGCGCGGCCACGCCGUAAAACACCCAACUUCUGAAUGUUGACCUCGAAUCAGGUAGGAAUACCCGCUGAACUUAAGA